AUUGAACGCUGGCGGCAUGCCUUACACAUGCAAGUCGAACGGCAGCACGGGGGCAACCCUGGUGGCGAGUGGCGAACGGGUGAGUAAUGCAUCGGAACGUGUCCUCUUGUGGGGGAUAACCAGUCGAAAGAUUGGCUAAUACCGCAUGAGAUCGAAAGAUGAAAGCGGGGGACCGCAAGGCCUCGCGCGAGAGGAGCGGCCGAUGCCGGAUUAGCUAGUUGGUGGGGUAAAAGCCUACCAAGGCGACAAUCCGUAGCUGGUCUGAGAGGACGACCAGCCACACUGGGACUGAGACACGGCCCAGACUCCUACGGGAGGCAGCAGUGGGGAAUUUUGGACAAUGGGCGCAAGCCUGAUCCAGCCAUGCCGCGUGUGUGAAGAAGGCCUUCGGGUUGUAAAGCACUUUCGGACGGAACGAAAUCGCGCGGACGAACAUUCCGCGUGGAUGACGGUACCGUAAGAAGAAGCACCGGCUAACUACGUGCCAGCCGCCGCUGUAA
rnacentral:rRNA from 1 species